GUCUAAAGAAAUUGUAACAGCCCGUCCCGUAUUAACGUUUUUAUAAGUGUGAAGUUUGUUUAAUUAUCCUAGUUUUUAAGAGUGGACGUUUUGUCUGUGUGUUUGUUUGAAAAUGACUUAUGGACUAUACACUCAGACACACUCAUUAUUCAUUAUUCCUUCCCGUGAUUCCCUCAAACACUCACACUCUCUCUCUCCCGUCAAGCUCUCUCUCACUCUCUCUCUCUUUCUACACUCACGGCAAAACAACAAGGAUCUUCAAAUCUUCACAGAUCGAAGAAACAAAGACCACCAUCGUCUUCAUCUCGUCGAUACGAAUUCAUCCAUACCCAUUUCAGGGGUUUUUAAGCUCAUAGGGAGCUUAAGGAGGUUCUUAGGAAGCUCGGAAUGCUUCGUUGGAAGUUUUUGGAAGUAAAAACACAGAGAUCGGAAAGUUCAAUGUUUGGUCGGAACUUUCGAGGCGUUUUCCGGCCAAACCACGGAGAGUUAGACGUCGUGCGAGUUUCCGGCGAGUCCGAUGGCUUUCGAGGCUUUUUCCGGUGAAUUCCCGGCGAUUUAAGGGUCGAGACAGGUGAAAAUUUUACGGACGAAGAACGUAACCAAAAUAGGCGAGGGGGUUACGAACCGGCUACUUAUCAGUUCUUGAUAGCAGAGUUUUGGUGGCCACGAGGAAUCCAACGGUAUUCUGACAGAAUUCACAAAAGUAGGACUCACCCUCGAGGGUUUCCAUUUUAAUAAUUGUAUUUUUAAAAGCUUCCGAACUGUGUAAAUGGUUACGUCACUCUCAUGUGACGGCCAGCAUGCCCUCCUUCGGGACGGGGUGUGUCAGAAAUCGACGGUGUAAAAAUUGGUGCAUAUAAUCGAAAAUCCUAAUCAUAUAUAUAUAUUUUUUUGAGGAAA